GGUGAGCAGGAGCUGCAGUUCAAACCCAGUCCUUCGGAUAAGCGGCCCAUCGGCACAGACUCGAUCCGCCUACUCGAGGGCGUCAGGUUACAGGCUUCCUGUCAGUGCGCCCGCUGUGCGCCAUAAUACCGUGGGCCUAGUGCGCAAUCUAACUACCAUCAAACGCUCACCCGGCCUCAUCAUUCCUGAUGCUCCUCCUUCGCCUGCGGCUGCGCGCCUGUGCAGCAGCAGCAGCAGCAGCAUGUGGGAGGCGCCCGGCUUCGACUAUUGGGCGCGGCUGGUCAGGCUGCUCCGGGCGGGCGGCAUCGACCCACCCGACGAGGCUCGUAUCGCGCUCAUAGCGCGGCACCUGAGCUCGCGCAUGCUCGCGGCACACACCGUG
rnacentral:lncRNA from 1 species